rnacentral:rRNA from 1 species
UACAGAGGUCUCAAGCGUUGUUCGGAUUCAUUGGGCGUAAAGGGUGCGUAGGUGGCGGGGCAAGUCUGGUGUGAAAUCCCGGGGCUCAACCCCGGAACUGCACUGGAUACUGCUUUGCUAGAGUACUGGAGAGGGAACUGGAAUUUACGGUGUAGCAGUGAAAUGCGUAGAUAUCGAGAGGAAUACCAACGGCGAAGGCAGCACUCUGGGCAGUUUCUGACGCUGAGGCGCGAAGGCUAGGGGAGCAAACGGG